UUUUGGGAUCCUAGAGGGGUAUGGGAUGGCUGUUGGGGUGCUGAGGGCGUUUGGGAUGGGUUUUGGGGGUCCCAGGGCUGUGUUUGGGGUCCCAGGGCUGUGUUUGGGGUCCCAGGGCUGUUUUUGGGGUGUGUUUGGGGUCCCAGGGCUGUUUUGGGGUCCCAGGGCUGUUUUUGGGGUGUGUUUGGGGUGUCAGGGCUGUUUUGGGGUGUCAGGGCUGUUUUUGGGGUCCCAGGGCUGUUUUUGGGGUGUCAGGGCUGUUUUUGGGGUGUGUUUGGGGUCCCAGGGCUGGUUUUGGGGUCCCAGGGCUGUUUUUGGGGUGUCAGGGCUGUUUUUGGGGUGUGUUUGGGGUCCCAGGGCUGUUUUGGGGUCCCAGGGCUGUUUUUGGGGUGUGUUUGGGGUGUCAGGGCUGUUUUGGGGUGCCAGGGCUAUUUUUGGGGUGUCACCCCGCAGGUCUCAGACCGCAUGGGGCUCCUGCCCCACCUUUACCGCGACUUCGACAAAGCCAAAUUCGCCGCCUUCUGCCGGAGGGUGGCGGCAGGUGGGGACAGAACUGCCCGGGAAUGUCCCCUUGUCACCUGUCCUUGUCCCCUUGUCACCUGUCCCUGUCACCUGUACCUGUCACCUGUCACCUGUCACCUGUCCCUGUCACCUGUCCCUGUCCCUGUCACCUGUCACCUGUCCUUGUCCCCUGUCCCUGUCCCUGUCACCUGUCCCUGUCACCUGUCCUUGUCACCUGUCCCUGUCCCUGUCACCUGUCACCUGUCCUUGUCACCUGUCCCUGUCCCCUCGUCCCUGUCCCCCGUGUCCCUAUUUGUCUCUGUUUGUCCCUGUCCCCUUUUCCUUGUCCCCCUUGUCACCUGUUUGUCCCUGUCCCAUUUGUCCCUGUCCCUUGUCCCUUCUCCCUGUCCCUGUCCCCAUCCCCCGUUUGUCCCUUUGUCCCUCCCGCUGCCACUCCCCUGUCCCCUCCCAGCCGCUCUUUGUCCCCAAGGAGCGACCUCUGCCCUCCUCGGGCUGGGGACACCCAGGUGCCACCUCCUGUCCGGGGGGGUGGCACUGAGGGCUGUCCCCGUGUCCCCAGGGUGAUGCCGAGGGUUGUCCCCAUGUCCCUGGGGUGGCACUGAGGGAUGUCCCCAUGUCCCUGGGGUGGCACUGAGGGAUGUCCCCACAUCCCUGGGGUGAUACCAAGGUGUCCCCAUGUCCCCCCUUGGGUGCCACCGAGGUGUCCCCAUGUCCCUAUGGUGACACUGAGGUGUCCCCACGUCCCUGUGGUGGCACUGAGGUGUCCCCCUGCCCUGGGGGUGGCACUGAGGGAUGUCCCCGUGUCCCCAGGGUGACACUGAGGGUUGUCCCCAUGUCCCCGGGGUGCCACCGAGGUGUCCCCAUGUCCCUGUGGUGGCACUGAGGUGUCCCCAGUGUGCCACUGAGGUGUCCCCAUGUCCCCAGGGUGACACCGAGGGUUGUCCCCAUGUCCCUGGGGUGGCACUGAGGGAUGUCCCCAUG
rnacentral:lncRNA from 1 species